GACGAACGCUGGCGGCGUGCUUAACACAUGCAAGUCGAACGGAAAGGCCCUGCUUUUGUGGGGUGCUCGAGGGGCGAACGGGUGAGUAACACGUGAGUAACCUGCCCUUGACUUUGGGAUAACUUCAGGAAACUGGGGCUAAUACCGGAUAGGAGCUCCUGCUGCAUGGGGGGGGGUGGAAAGUUUCGGCGGUUGGGGGUGGACUCGCGGCUUAUCAGCCUGUUGGUGGGGUAGUGGCUUACCAAGGCUUUGACGGGUAGCCGGCCUGAGAGGGUGACCGGCCACAUUGGGACUGAGAUACGGCCCAGACUCCUACGGGAGGCAGCAGUGGGGAAUAUUGCACAAUGGGCGGAAGCCUGAUGCAGCAACGCCGCGUGCGGGAUGACGGCCUUCGGGUUGUAAACCGCUUUCGCCUGUGACGAAGCGUGAGUGACGGUAAUGGGUAAAGAAGCACCGGCUAACUACGUG
rnacentral:rRNA from 1 species